UCUUUAUAUUUGAUUUUGCCCAAAGAAAACGUUAAUAGCUAGAUUUUCGUCAAACUGAGACGACAUACGUUUAAAAUACCAUAGACCUUUUAUCUCAAUGUGAUUAUAGAUAUCAAAAAUGUUUGGAAUUUCACAGUUACUGAUGCGUGUAAAAUCUUGCUGAGAGCGCACAAUAUUGCAACGUGAGAAUGCUGCGAGGGACUAAUUCAACAACAUGGAUUCACGAGUCAAGUCAAUGAUUUUUGAAGUGUUCUCGAAUGUUCCAGGGUAGACUAUAAUGUUGCGAUGAUAUUUGACUGUAUCUGUAGACGAAGAAAGGCAAAACGUAGUGUAGUCAAGGUGAAUGUGCAACAUUUAGAUAACAUCAUAACCGAAUAUAUUUUGAGGAAGAAAUGCACAGGUCAAGAAUGUCUUCAAAAAAUUGCCAAAGAAGUCAACUUGAAAGAGAUUUGGCAUUUUGGUUUAAAAUAUGGUUGCGAUAAGACAUCAAAUGGAAAAUGGUUGGAUCUUGAGAAGCGUCUAAGUAAGGAAAUCAAGCGGGUGGCAAUAGACGAUACUGAAAAUGUAACCAUCUUCCUAAGAAUAAGAUUCUUUGAGACUAACGUGGAAAAGUUGACAGAGGAUACGACAAGGUAUUUUUACUAUUUGCAAUUACGACAAGACAUUCAAGAUGGUAUUCUUCCUUGUAAUGAAAGACAAGCUUUGGAAUUGGCUGCAUUUGCCUUGCAAGCUGAAUAUGGUGACUACGAUGAAACUGAACAUAAAGAAGAAUUCAUUCAGGAAUAUCAACUUUUACCAACGCAUUUUUUAGCUGAAAAAACUGAAAGUGAACUUUAUGAUGAGAUUGCUGCAAAUCAUAUCAAUUGUGUGGGAAUGUCCACAAGUGACGCAGAAAUUGCUUACAUCACGCAUGCGCGUCAGUUAGAAUUCUACGGACACGAAUUUUAUUCUGCAAAGGAUCUGGAUGGUCGUGCUGUAAAAGUUGGACCAUGUGCUUGUGGUGUGUUUGUUAAAUACGACAGCAAUACACCUAUCAUGUACUUUCACUGGCCUGACAUAGUGAACAUGAUUCAUCGCAAGAAAAUGUUUCUUGUUGAAACAUCAACUUUGAAAUCGUGUCUUGAGAUGAAUUCGGUUGAAGAUGCAAAGUAUGUGUGGCAGAGCUGUAUUACUUAUCACCAGUUUCAUAGAAUUAAAGACAGCAGUAAACGAAGCAGUGCAAUCGAUGUUGGAAGUGGCAGAAAGAGUUCAUCAGGAAGAAAUGGCAUUGCUGAUGAAUAUAGUAAUGGGCUAUCAAACUUUGCGUUUGACAAUCCCGUCGUUCAUGACCACAUAGAUGGUGAUCCACAGGCGGGAGAACUUAGCCGUGAAUCAGGUAUUUACAGUUCUUCUGAAUCACACGUGGAUAUCACGACCCAAAACAAUGAAGUCAAGUUUCAAUACGAUGUAAAAGAAUGGAUACCACAGCUGUUCCAAAUGACUUUUUGAUGGCAUCAUAUAAGACUUUCUCAAAUCAGUCGAAGUCAAUUGAUUCGAUACAGGCUCGUAGAUCUCUACCAUGUGCCUCGAGUAACAUUGAUGCUGAAAGGAGAAAUGAAAGGAGUUUCUCCAUGAUUGUACCUACACGUUUAGAAAGGAGCGGUGAUGCAUGUAGCCUUCAAACGUUGGCAACCAGCGGUUACAACACGUCCGCAGAUUCUGAAUUGUCUAGUUCGAAGUCACCUGUAUCCCCAAUAUCUCCUGUGAGUUUAAUCAGCACAAGCUCGUUUCCUUACCAUUCCUACGAAGUCCCUGAUGCUGAUACACA